UGUAAGUUAUUUUAUUUAUUUCAUAUUAAUGAAUCAAUGAGAUCAAAAUGAAGUAUAAAUGUACGAGGAUAGAAAUCGAAUGUUCAGUCCUGAUCUUGAGUUCAAAACUUCAUGCUGUAUUGCUUGUGAUGAAGUUUUACCGAUCUGCAGUUGGUUCCUUCUAUGGAUCCUUAUGCAUAGUUGGUAGAUUCUGAAACAAAGAGAGCUUGUGAACAUGAGCAGGGAAUAUUUUCAUGUGUCACUUGUGGGAUUUUUUGUUUUGCUUGUGUUUCUAUUGAAGCAGCUGCUCAUUAUCUAUUGUUAGCCAGUUGCAUCACAUUUAAGAAUUGGGGUGCUGGUGAUGCUGACUACAAUCACAUCAGACAUCCAAAGUCUCCCAACAGAAACCUUGGUUCAGGGCUGGUAAUAAAGAAACAUGUAAUAUACAUUCGAUCUCUGUGGCAAAGCAUGUGUGUUGGGUCAAGACCUGAUAUGAUUCUUCAUCUGAUUCAAGCACUGAGCCAAAGAAAGUCAGAGGUAUCAUGCAGUUGCUGCAGGCCAAGCCCAUGUUCCACUAUCUCUGACUGCUGAGACUCUAGCUUCCCCUGUGGUCCAUGUGAUCAUGGCGGCAGUGGUAAGACAAAACGGAAGUUUCUGGAAGUGUUGGACAAUUAAGUUACAAAAUGAUUGAAAUAAAAAGCAUGACUUGGAAAAUGCCAACAUCCAGAGGCCAUAGGUGAUCCUAUGGCAAAAAUUAACUCUACUGGAUUUGGUUUACAGGAGGUUAUUAAAGCUGAGAAGGAAAUGGAAAAGUCUAAGAUGUAAAAUCCGCUAUUACAUUCAAAGAACGCAUCUAAGUCUGGAAAGCUGAAUAUGAAAGGACUAUCGUUGACAAAGUUGUUCACCCCAGUAUUGUUUUUGCAGAAUAGUAGUAUUAUGUAUGCCUAGUUUGCUGAUGGUGAUUUUCUGGUGCAACAACAUUCACUGUUGGAUGUAGUGCAUGAGAACUUGUAGUGCUCUUUUUUAUUUUUAAUCUAUUUAUGUUGAAAAUAUGGCAGUGACAAACUUUGAUAUGAUCAUUUGCAGGUCUGGUAAGAAAGAAACAAGGUCCUUCUGAUAUGCCAAUGAUAUGCAAAUAUGUGCGGAUCAGAUUCAAUCUAUGUGCCAAAGUAUGUGUGCUGGGUCAAAAUGAAUCUGAUUCUUCAUCUGAUUCAAGCACUGAGCCAAAGAAAGUGAGUUAUCACGCAAAGAAAGAAACAAGGUCCUUCUGAUAUGCCAAUGAUAUGAAAAUAUGUGCGGAUCAGAUUCAAUCUAUGUGCCAAAGUAUGUGUGCUGGGUCAAAAUGAAUCUGAUUCAAGCACUGAGCCAAAGAAAGUGAGUUAUCACGCUGUUGCUGCUGGCCAAGUCCAUGUUCCACUUUCUAUGAGUGCUGAGACUGUAGCAUCCCCUAUGAUCCAUGUGAUCACGGCAGCAGUGGCAAGACAUUCCUAAGGUUGAGACUUUUGCUUGAGGACAAUAUAAGGGAGUCAAUCUUUUGAAGAAGUAUGGCCUAAGCCCUGGUACAUUGGAGGGAGAACAACACAAGGAAAUAGGGGGAUGAAAAUGUUGGCAAAAUCUUCAUUAGUGAUUUUGUGGUUUCUAUGUUUGGUAGCUUACAUUUAAGCAUGUCAACUCGCAAUUUUAGAUAUGAUUGGCUUUUACUUGGUGGGAAAUUUUCUUUUGCCAUGAAUUUUUGAGUUGAACCUCUUGGAUACACUCCGUGACCUAGAGAAUUUGAUCACUUCAGCUCUAGAAAAGAUCUUGUUAUCUGGGUAUCUAUUACGCAUUUGUGUUGCUGACAAAGAAUGCAUUAAUUUUCUCUGUGAUUCUGUAGACUUUGGGAGCAUGGAUGACAUUUCUGAAGUUUCUGGUGGAAAGGAUGGAAAUGGUUCUUAGUAUGAGCUUUUGGUUUGCAGUCCAUCCAAAAUUGAGGUUAGUAAAUCUCUUUUGUUAAUCUGGGAGUUGGCUUACCAACAUUGUUUUCAUCCCAAACACUGAGGUGUUAAGCUUAACUGCUCAACUUCUAUGCAGAAAGAGAUAUUGUAUGAGAUUACAGCAAAAUGCUGAAACUGUUAAUGUUACUCUUUAUCAGCAGAAGAUGAUUAUGUAGAUGUUAAAACUUAUCUAGCAUUGAUUAUGUUGUUUCUUUCAAUUGAGAGUUCAUGGGCUGUGUUUCGGGCAGUCUU